rnacentral:rRNA from 1 species
GAUGAACGCUGGCGGCGUGCCUAAUACAUGCAAGUCGAGCGAAGCUUGGACGGGUGAGUAACACGUUGCUAACCUCCUAUACGACUGUGAUAACUUCGGGAAACCCGAGCUAAACCGGAUACUUCUAGUUGGAUCCGCGCCGCAUUGGCUAGUUGGUAAGGUAACGGCUUACCAAGGCAACGAUGCGUAGCCGACCUGAGAGGGUGAUCGGCCAAACGGGAACUGAGACACGGGCCAGACUCCGAGGGGAGGCAGCAGUAGGGAAUCUUCCGAAAUGGGCGAAAGCCUGACGGAGCAACGCCGCGUGAGUGAUGAGGGUAUUCGGAUCGUAAAACUCUGUUAUUAGGGAAGCGGUACCUAAUAAGAAAGCCACGGCUAACUACGUGCCAGCAGCCGCGGUAAUUC